rnacentral:tRNA from 1 species
AGCGACGUAGCUCAGGCGGAUAGAGCAUCCUGCUUACGACGGAAAUCAAGGCGGACACCUUGAUAGUACGGGCAGGAAGGGCGCGGGUUCAAGUCCCGCCGCCGCUCCCA